rnacentral:tRNA from 1 species
GCAGUGGUGGUUCAGUGGUAGAAUUCUCACCUUCCAUGCAGGAGACCUGGGCUCAAUUCCCGGCCAGUGCA